rnacentral:rRNA from 1 species
AUGACGGCCUUCGGGUUGUAAACCUCUUUCAGCAGGGAAGAAGCCACAAGUGACGGUACCUGCAGAAGAAGCGCGGGCUAACUACGUGCCAGCAGCCGCGGUAAUACGUAGGGCGCAAGCGUUGUCCGGAAUUAUUGGGCGUAAAGAGCUCGUAGGCGGUUUGUCGCGUCUGCUGUGAAAGCCCGGGGCUUAACCCCGGGUGUGCAGUGGGUACGGGCAGACUAGAGUGCAGUAGGGGAGACUGGAAUUCCUGGUGUAGCGGUGGAAUGCGCAGAUAUCAGGAGGAACACCGAUGGCGAAGGCAGGUCUCUGGGCUGUUACUGACGCUGAGGAGCGAAAGCAUGGGGAGCGAACAGGAUUAGAUACCCUGGUAGUCCAUGCCGUAAACGUUGGGCACUAGGUGUGGGGGACAUUCCACGUUUUCCGCGCCGUAGCUAACGCAUUAAGUGCCCCGCCUGGGGAGUACGGCCGCAAGGCUAAAACUCAAAGGAAUUGACGGGGGCCCGCACAAGCGGCGGAGCAUGCGGAUUAAUUCGAUGCUUCGCGAAGAACCCUUACCAAGGCUUGACAUGGACCGGAAACACCUGGAAACAGGUGCCCCGCUUGCGGCCGGUUCACAGGUGGUGCAUGGUUGUCGUCAGCUCGUGUCGUGAGAUGUUGGGUUAAGUCCCGCAACGAGCGCAACCCUCGUUCCAUGUUGCCAGCGCGUAAUGGCGGGGACUCAUGGGAGACUGCCGGGGUCAACUCGGAGGAAGGUGGGGACGACGUCAAAUCAUCAUGCCCCUUAUGUCUUGGGCUUCACGCAUGCUACAAUGGCCGGUACAAAGGGUUGCGAUACUGUGAGGUGAAGCUAAUCCCAAAAAGCCGGUCUCCUUUGAGGAAGAGGUCUGCAACUCGACCCCAUGAAGUCGGAGUCGCUAGUAAUCGCAGAUCAGCAACGCUGCGGGAAAUUCCCCGGGCCUUGUACACCCGC